rnacentral:lncRNA from 1 species
ACAGUUGUUAGGAAUGGACGAGUGUUGGUGAAGUGGGAAUGCAGAGAAAGUAAUAGACAGGAGUGGGGGCAACACAGUUAGCAUUUGAAAAUGGACGGAUUCUGAUUUGUUAGAGAAGAGAGAGAAAAAGGAAUGGCAGUCCAGGCAAGAGACAAAGACACAUGGAGAGCUGACAGAAGAAUAAAUAGUUUGAUCAUGUUUGAAGUGAUCCAGGAAGACGGAAACAACAUUUGCCAUUUAACCCCAGCUUAGCUGGUCAUGGACAGCCAUUGCACAGGUGGUGCUGUGUGGCCACUGGGUAUCCGUUUCUUUCUUUUAGACCUGAGCUGGAAGUGGCACUUCAGAAUCAGGACCCAAGCUAUGUAAACAGCUGCACAGGCUUCACAAUAACCUUGUUUCCCCAUAGUUAGGUAAACAGGAGCCAAUUCCAUGAUACAUUAUCAAAAGCAAAGACAGCUGGCAACAGCCACCCUCUCCAAACACAGAGACUUUUGACAUUUCAGAAGAAUAGAAAGUACCACUUUUCCUAAACAGAUAUUCUCCAUGUUGGAGGCUAUUGUGUUACCGAACUUUUUUUUAUACCCCAUUAGAAACUGUAUCUGCAGCCCAGGUCU